GUCAGGACGAACGCUGGCGGCGUGCCUAAUACAUGCAAGUCGAGCGGACAGAUGGGAGCUUGCUCCCUGAUGUUAGCGGCGGACGGGUGAGUAACACGUGGGUAACCUGCCUGUAAGACUGGGAUAACUCCGGGAAACCGGGGCUAAUACCGGAUGGUUGUUUGAACCGCAUGGUUCAAACAUAAAAGGUGGCUUCGGCUACCACUUACAGAUGGACCCGCGGCGCAUUAGCUAGUUGGUGAGGUAACGGCUCACCAAGGCAACGAUGCGUAGCCGACCUGAGAGGGUGAUCGGCCACACUGGGACUGAGACACGGCCCAGACUCCUACGGGAGGCAGCAGUAGGGAAUCUUCCGCAAUGGACGAAAGUCUGACGGAGCAACGCCGCGUGAGUGAUGAAGGUUUUCGGAUCGUAAAGCUCUGUUGUUAGGGAAGAACAAGUACCGUUCGAAUAGGGCGGUACCUUGACGGUACCUAACCAGAAAGCCACGGCUAACUACGUGCCAGCAGCCGCGGUAAUAC
rnacentral:rRNA from 1 species